rnacentral:lncRNA from 1 species
UUAAGAUUUUAUUAGAUCACAAUAAAGAAGUAAAUUUUUAUUUGCUAAAUUUGCUAAAACAUAAAGACUUAUAGUAUGCCAGAAAAAUAAGCAAGCAACUAUGAAAGCUUUUUCUGCUUGCUCACUUGUCCUUAUGUCAUGCACAAAGAACUUUCUUGCUUCCUUAUGUGUAUCGACGUGUGCUUCAUGUAGAAAGAGGCGAGUUGGAAUCACCC